rnacentral:lncRNA from 1 species
CACUUCUGGAUGCCUAGGCCUCUUCCGUUUGCCUCUGGGACUGGCGAUACUCGAGAUGUCUUGAGGCCUUCCAGACCUUGCUCCACCUCCACCACCAGGUCUCCAGUCCUGAGCCACAUGCUGCCAUUUUUGUCUCAGAAGCACCCCUCUUCCAGGUGGAAGAUUGAAGGUCUGAAGAGUGGGAAGUCCCAGGAACAGGCAAUUCCAGGAAGAUAUGAGGAAAAUCAAGAAAGAGAAGGAAACUGAAGCUAGUGGGAAGUGCUUCAAGUUGGAGAUGAUGCUGAGAUGGCCAAAAAGUGAGAGGUGGAAAACAUUUGGAGUGAGUUAAGGAGAGAACGCGAGGCAAGGAAGUGAAGCUGAUUUUCAAACCUGAGUGAAUGAAUGAAUAAACGGACCUGGGAAUUGAUCAACAAUGGCUGCUGCAUCGCGUAAAGAGAGACGACCAGGUACGGUAUGCCUCCUGAUGGGAAAAAUGCCACCAGUCAUGAAGUAGUCUUUCCCCCUCAUCCCCUGAGAAAAUCAAACCGGAAUUUGAUUAAGCCUCUAGAUCCAACUUCCAUGCAUAGGAAAAUCUGAGGGCAGAAUUAUCUAAGUCGCAGUUACCAUUAGAGCACAAAAGACAAAAUCCAGCAUGUGAAAGGUCUCCAGAAGAAAGGCGUUGAAUAGAGGGCAAGAGUGUGUGCAUGAAGGGGAGUCUAUCAUCACAGACACUCAGGAGACAGACAUAUUGACCAAACACAAUGUGUGGGUCACAUUGCAUCCUGAUUCAAAUGAACUACUAAAAACUCUGUAGCACCUGGGAGGCAAUUAGAAAUUUGAACACUGAGUAUGUAUUACUAUUUGAUAAAUAAUGAGUAAGACAAAUUUCAAUAUAACACUAAUAAGGAAUUAUUAAGUAUGUGAUAAUGGCAUUGCAGCUAUAUCAGAAAAGAUAAAGUGUCUUUGAAAUUCAGACUUGCACUGGUUGUCUAUAAUAAAAACCAUAAAA